rnacentral:rRNA from 1 species
GACGAACGCUGGCGGCGUGCUUAACACAUGCAAGUCGAACGCUGAAGCUCAGCUUUUGUUGGGUGGAUGAGUGGCGAACGGGUGAGUAACACGUGAGUAACCUGCCUCCUUCUUUGGGAUAACGCCCGGAAACGGGUGCUAAUACUGGAUAUUCACUGGUCCUCGCAUGGGGGUUGGUGGAAAGGGUUUUUCUGGUGGGGGAUGGGCUCGCUGCCGAUCUGCUUGUUGGUGGGGUGAUGGCCUACCAAGGCUUUGACGGGUAGCCGGCCUGAGAGGGUGCCCGGUCACAUUGGGACGGAGAUACGGCCCAGACUCCUACGGGAGGCAGCAGUGGGGAAUAUUGCACAAUGGGCGCCAGCCUGAUGCAGCGACGCCGCGUGAGGGAUGGAGGCCUUCGGGUUGUGAACCUCUUUCGCUCAUGGUCAAGCCGCAACAAUGGUUGUGGUGAGGGUAGUGGGUAAAGAAGCGCCGGCUAACUACGUG